rnacentral:pre_miRNA from 1 species
AUCACCUAGGGAUCUUGUUAAAAUGCAGAUUCCGAUUCAGUGAGAGUCAGAGACUCUGCAUUUCUGCUAAGCUUCUAAGUGGUUCACA